rnacentral:rRNA from 1 species
GCAUGUGCACACCCUGCUCAUCCACUCUCAACCUCUGUGCACUUAUUGUAGGUCGGUGAAAGGCUCGCAAGAGCUGGAAGCCUGCUUAUGUUUUACUACAAACGCUUCAGUUAUAGAAUGUUUACUUGCGUAUAACGCAUUUAUAUACAACUUUCAGCAACGGAUCUCUUGGCUCUCGCAUCGAUGAAGAACGCAGCGAAAUGCGAUAAGUAAUGUGAAUUGCAGAAUUCAGUGAAUCAUCGAAUCUUUGAACGCACCUUGCGCUCCCUGGUAUUCCGGGGAGCACGCCCGUUUGAGUGUCAUGGUAUUCUCAACCUUCAUCACUUUUGUGACUUGAAGGCUUGGAUCUGGAGGUCGUGCGGGCUCUCGCGAGUCGGCUCCUCUGAAAUGCAUUAGCGUGAACGUUUACGGAUCGCUAUCAGUGUGAUAAUUAUCUGCGCUGUUAGUGUUGAAGUAUUGUUUAGUGUCGCGCUUCUAACCGUCCUUCAGUUGGACAACUUAUCUGACAUCUGGCCUCAAAUCGGGCGGGACUACCCGCUGAACUUAAGCAUAUCAAUAAGC